rnacentral:rRNA from 3 species
CACCGGCUAACUCCGUGCCAGCAGCCGCGGUAAUACGGAGGGUGCGAGCGUUAAUCGGAAUUACUGGGCGUAAAGGGUGCGUAGGUGGUUGAUUAAGUUAUCUGUGAAAUUCCUGGGCUUAACCUGGGACGGUCAGAUAAUACUGGUUGACUCGAGUAUGGGAGAGGGUAGUGGAAUUUCCGGUGUAGCGGUGAAAUGCGUAGAGAUCGGAAGGAACACCAGUGGCGAAGGCGGCUACCUGGCCUAAUACUGACACUGAGGCACGAAAGCGUGGGGAGCAAACAGGAU